CGCGGGAAUAACAGAUUCUGGUCUAUAGUGCCACCAACUUCCUUUAUUUGGUGACUCAACUUGAGGUCAAGUGGGCAUAAAUAUGUGUGAAUUGUUGAAGCACAGCAUUUGUAAUAGAAUAUGUCCUUUAUGCAGGUCAAGAAAGCAUGACAACAAAGUAAAACAAGUUCAUUUAAUUGUGUCGGUCGAUAAGAUAACAAUAUAGUAUAUAAGCAUUGGUUUACAAUAGCUGCUAGCUUUUGGUGUUUAUCUUACAUGACAUCCACUGUGAACGUGGGCAUAUUUAUCACUUCAGGUGGCAUUCGAUAAAUGAAUGACCUAGUAAGAGCGUCAUUGAAUAUUGAUCCCUGCAUUUCUAGCCACGCACUCUUGACAUCAUUGCAUGUUUGGAAAAAUGGUGCAAGUGUUAGCCAUGAUCGUCACAGCCAUCUGCAUACGAGCGGAUGGCUGUAUUGUCUUUGUGCUCUGCCAAUAAACAUGAUUGCAGAACAAAUACUGCAUCUUAAGAGAUUUCAACUGUUCUAUAAACACUUGUGUUGCCUUGUAGCAUCAGUCCCCAGAAUUAAUUGAGAUUGGAGUUAAUUUGUGAUAUUUUUUUUACUUUGGUGCUUCCGUGAGGGUUUUCAAUUGUUAGCAAAAAGCCUGAAAGACAUUUGAACUACCAUAGGCACAGCCUUGCAGAAACUUGCGUAAAUCGUGGCGACAACCACAUACCAAAAAUGUGUCAUUUCUUGUGCAUAGUUGGGGUGCCCCGGCAAUCAGAUUGCUCAGGCUGAACUAAGUUACACAUUUGUGCAAAUAAAUGGACAUUAAACACAACUGCAUAAGAAUAGAUGCACUCACAGAAACACUUGCAAAU
rnacentral:lncRNA from 1 species